rnacentral:tRNA from 1 species
CGGGGUGUAGCUCAGGUGGAUUAGAGUGCUUGCUUGGGGUGCAAGAGGUCGCUGGUUCAAGUCCAGUCACUCCGACCA